rnacentral:rRNA from 1 species
AUUGAACGCUGGCGGCAGGCCUAACACAUGCAAGUCGAACGAGUGGCGGACGGGUGUGUAAUGUCUGGGACACUGCCCGAUGGAGGGGGAUAAAUACGGGAAACGAUAGCUAAUACCGCAUACCAUCGAAUGUGCCCAGAUGGGUAUAGCUAGUAGGUGGGGUAACGGCUCACCUAGGAGACGAUCCCUAGCUGGUGUGAGAGGAUGAACAGCCACACUGGAACUGAGACAUGGUCCAGACUCCUACGGGAGGCAGCGUUGGGGAAUAUUGCACAAUGGGCGCAAGCCUGAUGCAGCCAUGCCGCGUGUAUGAAGAAGGCCUUCGGGUUGUAAAGUACUUUCAGCGAGGAGGCGUUACUCGCAGAAGAAGCACCGGCUAACUCCGUGCCAGCAGCCGCGGUAAUUC